ACGAUUCCAUUUUCAUCUUUUUCCAAACCUAAUCCAACCUUCCAAACAUCACAUAUGUAGCUUCUGUUAGUGAACUGGUCUGCAAAGUAAGGCCAGCAGAGGAAUGGGACACCAUUGCUUACACCUUCCAUUGUAGAAUUCCAACCACAGUGGCUGAGGAAGCAGGCAACUGAAGGAUGAGCCAGGACCUGUUGUUGAGGUGCCCAACUGGCUAAUCUUCCUCGUCCUUGUAUUCGAUCUCUGAAACCUUUUGGAUAUGCACCAUCUGUUUCUGCAGUUAAAUUACGCCUCACAACCCAAAGGAAUGGCAUAUUGGUGAGUUCAAGUCCCAGAGCCAGUUCUUGGAACUGUGUGUGGUCAAAAACUGAGGUGCUCCCAAAUGCAACAUAAAUGACUGAUUGGACUGGUUGUUUAUCAAGCCACGCCAAGCAAUCCCAGUCUUCAGGCCAGUAGGAACCAACUGAUUUUCCAAGCCGGUUGCUAGCUAGAAGAGGGCCAAUUGGCAACAUUUCUGGAAAUAAGUGCAUCAAAAACAAUACCCUGUGUGGUCGCAUCACCGACACUGGCCCAAGCAAAGUGUUCAGAGUCCAUGGCUAAUAUGGCGGGUGAUAACUGAACCAUCUGCUUCUUCAUGAUAGUUCCUGCCACAAAAUUUGCCUUAAUAUCAAUUUUGAUAAGCAUUUUGUUCUGGCAAUGCAUUUUUUUCUUUGCUGCAAAAAUUUCCUUGCAUCGAUGAAGACUAAUUCACUUGAUAUGUUUUUCAACUUUCAACUUAUUUUGCAACACCCAAAUGUGCACCACCCUGUUUCCUAUGAGUUUGUUACUUUGCUUGCAUUAUGAUUUUUACCUUCAUAGGUUCCAAUUCUAAUCAACUUUAUAUUGUUUUACCGUUUUAUGACUACAAAGAAGUAAGUGCCUAUAAGAAAAUGAUGAACUGAAGUAUUAUGCUGUGAUGAGUCUUACCAGAGCUGUCUAUGAUUCCAUCAUCAAUGAGCUUUGGAAUAUUGAGUUUCAGAGCGUAUACAGCUGCUGCUGCUGGCCAGAAGGCUACUGCCCUGACUCCCAUUUUCUUCGCAACCUCCAGUGCCAAACCCAAGAACUCAUCAGCAAUAAUGCAUGUGAUUUUGUCACUUUCAGAUUGAUUUAUCUUCUCAAUUAGAGCCUCCAGCUUUGCCGGCAUAACACAAAAAAUCGCCUUCAUUAACUUCCCCGCAUCAUUUCUGUCUUCCCACGAUUCCAGGCCAUCUGGGAUGGAUACCAGAUGCAUCAUAUCAGGCACAUUUUCUUCACCAGAUAACGAUUCAAUGACUCGUUUGUGAUCAAAUUCUGUGUUCACAAAUGUAACCUUGAUACCAUGCUUCACUAGGCAUAAGGCAAGUUCCAUCAGGGGAAGUACAUGACCUUGUGCUGGAUAAGGUAUGGCUAGAACAUGUGGACUGCCCAUAUUGUUUCUACAACACUAUACUACCAUUAAUCUCCAUAUAUGGCACAAUUCAUCUGUUUUCUUAUUAAGGAGAGAACCCAUGGCACAUUAAAUGGCUAAUCACUAAUAUGUGGUCAAGUUUUCCAGAGCCUGAAAGAGGCAACGUUUUUCUCGAGUGCACCCUUUCUUUGUCUUGAUUUUGGUAUCUGUCAACGUUUUUUCACAAUCUUGGAAUUGUUGCUAACCAAUACUUUUAGAUUGAAAUGAAAACAGAAGAUGGAUUGCAAGGGAC